AAUCUACUCCCUCCGUCCGGAAAUAUUUGUCAUAGAAAUGAAUAAAAUGGAUGUAUAUAUAACUAAAAUUAGUCCAAAUACAUUCAUUUAUAGGACAAGUAUUUUCGGACGGAGGGAGUAUAUC
rfam:Hordeum vulgare subsp. vulgare, WGS project CAJW01000000 data, contig: morex_contig_2245002